CCGGGAGGCGGAGGUUGCAGUGAGCUAAGAUCUUGCCACUGCACUCCAGUCUUGGCGAAAGAGUGAGAUUCCAUCUCAAAAAAAACACAAAAAACAAAAAACAAACCAAAAAACCUUAAAAUAAAAUGCAUGAUGUUGAUAUGGCAAUAACUGCUACAGAGAAAAUCAAAACACAAGCAGGAGGUAGGAAGUGGCAGGAGUGGGAUUUCAAUUUUACUCUAUUGCUUGAUUCCUUUUUAGGUAUAAUUUCAGACUUACUGAAAAGUUGCAAGAAUAGCCCAAAUAAUUCUUGAUUGUCCUUUAUCCACACUCCCAGUCUCAUACCUGAAACUGGGUAAUAUAUAAAGGAAACAGGUUUAAUUGAUUCAUAGUUCCACAUGGCUGGGGAGGCCUCACAAUCGUGGUGGAAGGCAAAAGGCUUACACGGCGGCAGGCAAGAGGGCAUGUGUAGUGGAACUCCUUUUUAUAAAAACCAUCAGAUCGACCUGGCGCAGUGGCUCACGCCUGUAAUCCCAGCGCUUUGGGAGGCUGAGACAGGCGGAUCACGAGGUUAGGAGAUCGAGACCAUCCUGGCUAACACGGUGAAACCCUGUCUCUACUAAAAAUACAAAAAAUUAGCCGGGCGUGGUGGCGGGAGCCUGUAGUCCCAGCUACUUGGGAGGCUGAGGUAGGAGAACGGCGUGAACCUGGGAGACGGAGCUUGCAGUGAGCUGAGAUGGCGCCACCGCACUCCAGCCUGGGCGACAGAGUGAGACUCUGUCUCAAAACAAAAACAAAAACCAAAAAAACCCUGAAAAACAUCAGAUCUUGUGAGACUUAUUCACUAUCACGGGAGCAGCACAGGAAGAACCUGACCCCAUGAUUCAAUUACCUCCCACCGGGUCCCUCCCACAACAUGUGGCGAUUACUACAAUUCAAGGGAGGUUUGAUCUUGCAGAGGCCAGAGGAGGAGAAGAUCUCCUGGCUGAC
rnacentral:lncRNA from 1 species